GCAUAUCAAUAAGCGGAGGAAAAGAAACCAACAGGGAUUGCCUCAGUAACGGCGAGUGAAGCGGCAACAGCUCAAAUUUGAAAUCUGGCCUCUUUGGGGUCCGAGUUGUAAUUUGUAGAGGAUGUUUCGGGCACCGCUCCGGUUUAAAUUUCUUGGAACAGAAUGUCAAAGAGGGUGAGAACCCCGUCUUGGACCGGCAGUAGGGCCCAUGUGAAACUCCUUCGACGAGUCGAGUUGUUUGGGAAUGCAGCUCAAAAUGGGUGGUAAAUUUCAUCUAAAGCUAAAUAUUGGCCAGAGACCGAUAGCGCACAAGUAGAGUGAUCGAAAGAUGAAAAGCACUUUGAAAAGAGAGUUAAACAGUACGUGAAAUUGUUGAAAGGGAAGCGCUUGCAACCAGACUUGCGCGCGGCGGUUCCCCCUUCCUUUUGGUUGGGUUAUUCCGCCGUGUCCAGGCCAACAUCGGUUCUGGGGGUCGGUUAAAGGCCUGGGGAAUGUAUCUACCCUUCGGGCGUAGACUUAUAGCCCCGGGUGUCAUGCGACCUCCCGGGACCGAGGAACGCGCUUCGGCUCGGAUGUUGGCGUAAUGGUUGUCAGCGACCCGUCUUGAAACACGGACCAAGGAGUCUAACAUCUAUGCGAGUGUUUGGGUGUCAAACCCGGAACGCGGAAUGAAAGUGAACGGAGGUAGGAAGCUUCGGCUGCACUAUCGACCGAUCCUGAUGUCUUCGGAUGGAUUUGAGUAAGAGCAUAGCUGUUGGGACCCGAAAGAUGGUGAACUAUGCCUGAAUAGGGUGAAGCCAGAGGAAACUCUGGUGGAGGCUCGCAGCGGUUCUGACGUGCAAAUCGAUCGUCAAAUUUGGGUAUAGGGGCGAAAGACUAAUCGACAUUU
rnacentral:rRNA from 1 species